rnacentral:rRNA from 1 species
UACAGAGGUCCCAAGCGUUGUUCGGAUUCACUGGGCGUAAAGGGUGCGUAGGCGGUCGGGUAAGUCUGAUGUGAAAUCUCACAGCUUAACUGUGAAACUGCAUUGGAUACUAUUCGGCUUGAGAGUUGGAGGGGGGACUGGAAUUCUUGGUGUAGCAGUGAAAUGCGUAGAUAUCAAGAGGAACACCAGUGGCGAAAGGCGGCUGGCUGGACAUGUAUUGACGCUGAGGUGCGAAAGCGUGGGGAGCAAACAGG